AUGCCCUUCUAACGUUCAACAUCAAGUUAUUUCUGGUAAAUUGAAGGUUGUUCGCGUUCGGCACAAUCUCUUAUAGCUUAAGAGCUGUGUUACUUAAAAUGUGAAAAAUACAACGAUAACAUCUCAAGGAUGUAAAAUAGUGAUGAAAAUUUACGGUGUGAUAAAAUGCAGUACCUUAAACAAGUUCAGAAAUACAGAGAUUUUGGCGUACAAAAGUUUACAGUCGAAUAAUGAAUUACAGGAAUCCGCGUUAUACGUUUUGUUAAAGACAAUCAAAAAAGCAUUUGAGUCAAAAUGUGCCUAAAUAAAUUUAAGUUGAACCAAUCGAGGUUUAACAAUAAAAAGACAGAAGGAUGUGGACGAACUCGUUAUGACAGAACAGCUCCAAUAUCAUGAGAGCGCUUCACGACAAAGUACCCGCAUGUUGGAGGCUCAAGUAGAACAGCUUGCAAAUAUUUACACAAACGUAUUAAUUACAAUAUCUAGUGACAUAAAGAAAAUCCAGAAAAUGAAAAGCGAAGAUUUAUAUCUACAGCAUGUAUUGAAAUAAAUAACAUUCAAAUCGAUGCAGAAGAAUGUUUAUUGGAAAUAUAAGAAUAUGCUUAUUUGCCAACUGAUGAUCGCCGCACUACCAAUAGCAAUACUAGAAGACAAUUCGUGAAUAAGAUUUUUAUCAAUAGAGCGUACAAGCGCAAAAGAAUUAAAUAUUGAUACGCCAUCUUGUCUUCGCAGCAACUCCUGAUGACCAGCAGGCAUCAAACUGUUGAUAGAGAACGCGCCAAAUAACGGCUAUCACCGCGAUUUUGACACAAGCCAACACACAUGGAAGGAAUAAAGCACGUGCCCUGUAAACGAUUAUACUGACACACACGCGAUGAAGCACAUGCGAAUGCUAUCCACCAUUCAAACCACCAACAAAAUCAAAAACAAAAAGCUCGUCCACGGUAAAACAUUUUCAAAGCAAACUCAAACUUGGGGAAACUGUCAAUGUGUUUGUCAGGGAAAUUAUUUUUCGGCGAAGGAGAAAAACUCUGUGGAGAAAAUACUCACGAACACACAGUGUUAGUUUCGGUGAGCGUUUAUGUGCAACAAAAAGUGACUUCCCCUCCUUUUGAAAGUCUCGUCCGAUUCAAAACCAACACAUUGCAAGACUCGUGAAGAAAUAGAAAAUUUAUUCGUCGUCCGGACAGGAAAGCUCGCAGAGUUGCAGAAAUCGUCGGCGUCAGUCUCAGCAUUCGUCAUCGUCGUCGCCUUCGUGAUCGUAAUCAACUAAGUGUCGUCGGUGGGCUCAGAGAAAGCUUUCAGUGAGCGGAAGCGUUUUUAGAGAAGUAUAAACCAUAUUUUGUUUUUGAUUUAUAAUGAACACAUAACACAGUCAAACGUCGUAAGAAACAAGACUUCAAACGUAAUGCAUCGCUCCAAUCUUGGUUCCUUCUGCACUAAGUAUUUAAUCCUAAGUUUUGAGUUAUCUCACUUUGUUUUAUUUUUCUUGUGCCAAUUUUAAGUAGUCAUACCACAACCAAACAAUAGCUAAUAAGUAUGUUUUUUCUUUAGAUUAAAUACUACAAACAUUCGAACAAUGCACAAGAGUAAACAAUAUGUCAAACACGGCAAUAGUGAACCACGGUCAACAGGAAUAUUUUUUAUCGUUGUAUAAUACAUAAUGAGUUAUUUUACAGGAUGAACAAGAUUGUUGGAUUCAAGCAAACAGAACGAAAAAUACAUAUCCUGAAUGACAAAUAACUGUUUAAAGAUUCAACCUAAAAGCAACUCAUUUCGGCCCUCAAAAAAAUAUACCAAAAUGUAACUUGCUGAUAUUUUGGAAGGGAAUAUCAAACGAACAUAGCAAUGGCAUAAUCGAACAAACACACAGGAAGCUGCCGCUUUAUGACAGAAAUUAUUUUCAUUGUCGUUAAUACAAAAAUACCAAGUUCAAGCAACCGUAUUUGGCUUGAGAAAAAGAUUGUUUAGUUGAAAAAUUUACGAGCAAGUUGAAGGAAAAUAUUUAUCAAUCUGUUGAAAAUUACUAAAGAUUUAUUUACGUUUUAAAAACAUACAUAUUUAUAUACAACACUUACAUUUCUACACUAUACAACACAACAAACGCAACUAAAAAUAGCAAAAUUGAAUUUUCAGUCCAAAUUCCUAUGUAUGUGCAUCAGCAAUUCCGAGUAUAUUGUUACGUUUGCAAAAGAACAUGCCAAAUUGGAUUCAAAAAUCGAUCCAAAAGUUAAAUAACAAUAAUUAUUGUUGACUAGAAGAGGUUGUUAAAAAAUUAUAUAUUUUGAAAUAGGCUCUAACAAAGUCGCAAAUAAUGGCAACAAUUUCUGUAAUAAAAAACACGUAUAACAUGUCCAAGGCCCGUAGAAGGCUAAUACAAUACAAACGAAUUCAAUAAUUUUGACGCACUUAUGCCAGGACAGAGAAAUGAAUAUAUUCCGCAUGUCCUACUUUUACUAGUGAUUUCACCUUCAAAUUCAGUGGUAGUUACUAAAAGAAAAAUUCUUACAUUUUCAUAAAAGCUGAAAUUGUCAUGAUAUGAACGAUCAAUUUUAAUUAACAUGUAUUCUUAUUUAUUUCAUUUUUAAACAGGACGGUUGGUAAUGACAAAACUAAACAGGAUUCAAAACAUACUUUCCCAACUUAGCUUUUGUAAGGGUUGAAGAGCAUUAACUGAGUACCUUCCAAUCAAAAACAAUAAUAUUACUCAUUUAAACAAAUUAGUACAAAUUCAAAACAUCUCCUUUUCCUAAAAUGAAAAGGACGAUGAUUUUGACUGCAAAACAAGCGGUUAUUGCCCAAAAUGUUUGAAAAAGGAUGCUCAAAUCUACGGUUUAAGUGUUGAUUCCUAAAAGGGGAAGAAACUGCUUAGGGUUAGCUGAAGGCAGUUUCUCUAUCGAAAAGUAGAGGAUGGGUAUAAAAAAUCAUUUGAAUCAUUCUGGUUUGAGACGAACCUUUAUUAUCCAGAAAACCAGAGUUUUGCUGAUAGCAUACGGCAAUUUGAACAGAUAACCCAAGAAAAUUCCUUUUCCAAAACCGCGGGUAUGUAAUAAUUGAUCUACCCUUUUUCUCAAAAACAUGUAGCAAAAACAUAUGCAAAGGUUUAAUUUGCUGUAACAUAUUUUAAUUUCAAUCGAAUAAAUUAUUAAUUCAGAUUUUAGGGUUGUGGUAUCGAACGGUUUUAAGGCGAAUUCCAAUUAAGCGAAAAAUCCAAAAUUGCAUUCCAUUCUAUACAUAAACUAGGAUGAGAUAGGAAAAUACAAGUUCGGAUUUGAAAUAACUUCGGAUUUAAGCUAUCAAAAUAGACUUUUUUUAUUACAUCGACUCAAUUUUUUUUUUGGAACUUAUUACAAAUGUCAAAACCAAAAUAUUGAAUCAUAUGACAACGAGCCAGACAACAUUACUUUCAAAUUAGAUUUUUCACAACAAAAACAAAUCAAAAACUCCGCCAUUCAGGAAUAACCGUCGAGAACGUGCUCCAGAAAAACAAAAUUCAACGCUUCAGCGAUUAUGAAUCGUCCCUCAUGGCAGUUAUCCGGCAUUACAAAAUUUAUAGCCAUUUAGCCUUUCAGUUUGCCUUCUCUUUAAAGCAAUCUCCCCUCGUCUUAUAUCUCAAAGAUAUUUGCUUUCUUUUCGGUUACAAUCAUUGCCCUGGUUUUUGCGAGUGGUUCAAGUGGUUGCAGAAACACACAAUGCUGGUGCAUGAAAUAAAUCUCGAAGUUUGCAGUUUGAUUUUUAUCCAUAUCAAACAUGGCAAUUGAUUUUAAUACAACAAUAAAUUUAUAUGAUAUUUCGAGAAAAAAAAAACAAAUAUUUUUAAUGUGCCACAGAUUUUUGAUCAUGGCGAACUAAAAAAGUAUUCAAUCAACUUGUAAUAACAUGCUGGAAUCAAAGGUUCACCACUAGGAUACAAAAUUAAAUUCAGGGUUUGAUUGAUGAAUGAAACAAGCUUAAAGAGCACGUUUUUAAUAAUAAAGUAAAAUAAAAAAUCACAUUUUUUUGUUUUCAGGAAGAUUUACAGAACAAAUCAAUUUGAAUAAUUUCCAAGUUUUGAUAUUCCAAGCUCACCAUAAAGUCUAAUUCUUGCCAUCAACGCAGACCACUCUAUAAAUCAUCCAACAACCAGAGCAUCCUCAAAAAGGGAGGUACUGAUGUGGCCUCGACUUUUGUCAUCAUGUAAUGAAAAGUAAAUUUCCUUGAUGGCAUCUAGCCGCACUUUGAUUCCAUCAGCCAAAUUUCCUUUUGCAAAUUAUUUUUCGUUAACCGGAAGCAUCUCUCAAAGAUAGAAGAUUUGCUCGUUCCACUUUCCAUCUACCGAACCAUCUCGAUACUCUAUCUAAAACAGCGUCACAGAGAAGUUCAAGUGUUUCUGCUUCAAAAUUGAACGUUUGGAACUUUCUUCUUUCUAGUGUCUCUUGAUUCUGCUUUUCGCUCACUCACAUGAUAAUUGACUUAAAAUCAUAUUUUCUACACGCCUCUUCCCUGAAGAGUCAUUCUUUAUUUCCGGUUUGAAAACAUGAUUCCAGCUAGCAGAAACAAGAAUCGAUUUUUUUUUGUCAUUUUUUUUGCUGGAAAAAUUUGCAUUUUGUAAUAAAAAUACGUUCGGGAAAAUUCUUCUAGACCCAGAUUCAUAUAACCAAUCAUGAAGUUCAUCAUAGCUAGGAGCAGAAAUAUUAGUUAUCAAACGCGAAAACUGAACCAUGAUUGCAUUUAAAAUUGGAUAUACCUUACAAAAAUAGAUAUUGUCAACACUGAAAAAUAGGUUUUGUUUCCGAUUCUAGUAAAACAUUCUUUUCACAAACCUCAAAUAUUGCUUAAUUCCUAAUCGAAAUUCCAACGAACAAAUGAGUAUCCAGCCAUAACGUCAGAUAAAUUUUAAUAAGCACUACCUUCUGAGCCAUCAACAAACUGAUAAUAUGAUUGAGAAAAUACAUAAAAGACUAAGCACGAAACAUAUUUGCUUGUGAAACCGAAUUUGCAUAUGUUUAGUUAUUUGCACCCGUCUUACUUUCAUGACCGUCGACCAAAAGAUUUGCGAAAGUCCCAGCAAAACUUAGGACUUGUUUCUUCUUACCUUCUCCAGCCCCGAGCACCAUCUUAUGCUUUGCUGUGUUGAAGAGAAAUCCUUGUGAUGAAAAACCGACCAGACACGACUUCAUAAAAACUAGUUGAAAUCUCAAGCAUAAUUUUAGCAUAUAAGCCCCACACCACGCACGACUGUCCUUUCAAGGAUAGUUUUCUUUCCGGGUUUCGGUAUUAUUGGCGGUAGUUUGGGUUAUAAACACGUCUUAGCGAAACAUUUCCUUUCCGUUUGAAAACAAGCAAAAUUGAUUACUUUUGGAAAAGUUUUCUUCUUUCAAAAGAUAGUUUCUAACGUUGUAAAAUUCAACACGCAUCUUGACUAGUGAAGGUAUCUUUUCGAACCAUUAUCCUAAUUCGACUAAUUAGGCUGGAUUGUUCUCCUCAUCGCGAUCGUACUCAUUGCUGUGAGACCCUGAUAGUAGUUGGGAAAGUGUUGCGUAAAAAAGAAAAUCUAUUUCUAAUCGUUUCGCACAACAAACGCAGUACCAAAAUGAACUUGGACUUUCGGAUAAAACGAAACAUGAAAUUGUUUUGAUUGACCUAAAAUAAAUAGGUGUGUACACUAUUUAAUUCAACCGAUCUUAAUAUAAAUUAUUAUUUUGCUGGUUUUGUUAGUUAUCUCGAAUAAUUCCAUUUUAAAUCAAUAAGUAAAAUUUACUAUUGAUAAAAAAAUUGUAUGACCAAAAAUAACAAUAGAUAUCAUAAAAUUAUUAUUUCGAAAGAAACCGGUUUAGUUUAAUUCUCUACGCCCAGACUUACAACUUGUGCUUUUUGCUUGGACCAUAUUUUUGGCCACUCACCAUAUCAUGGUUGAAAUAUCUAUGAUAUCACUCAAUUUUUUAUUUUACCGAUAGAAAACAGCACACAACGUUUAAUUUGAAUCGUCAUGUAGAUGCGAAAUUAAAAAAGUAGAUUUUAUUAAUCUAGAUUCAUUAGUAAUUUUAUGGCUAUUCUUAGACAAGGCGAUCUAAUAUAUUCCCAGUAAACAUUCAACGCUUAAAUAAUCAAGCUCUUGAUUUGAAUGUUUUCAUUAGAAAUAAAUGCAAUAACAAAUAUGGUGCCAGAACCACUAUAAAAAAUAAUUUGCGGAUGAAUAACGACAAACAUCAAUUCCUACUCAGAAAUGCAUACCAAUAAUAUCACUAGAAAAAAGUACAAAAUAAUACUAACUUUCUAACUAGUACAAUAUACGAACUCUUUAUAAAAUAUAUAUAUUCAUAUACACAUAUACACAAUAUUUCCACAUUUGUAUGUUUAUUCUUUUUAACAUUGAAUGCUAGCAUAAAUUGAUGCUAGCAGCUAUUCCAAAUAUGUAUCGAAAACUGAAACGAUCCUCAAUAAACCAUUCUUUACUGCUCUUUAGCAGCUAAACUGCUAAAAUCAACAGCAUACAACUGGAAAAUGAUUCAUGGCAGUUUUUAAUUUUCCAAAAUUAAUAUUUCUUCACAAAUAAUGCAAAAUAACAAAUGGCAUACAUUUUUUCUAAUAAUACGGACCUAACGAAUGCAUUGAAAAUAGAUAUUUGAUCCUGAUUUAGUCUGUUGUAAAAGAAAAAAUCACAGUAUAAUUUGUAUGUUCAAAAAGCAGAUGUUUAUGAAUAAUCUAUUCAAACCAUAAAAAAGAAUAUUUAAAAAAAAAGAUAUUGGAUGCGUUAAUCAGUAUAUUAUUUUGUCUUUUUGUCAUUAUAUAAUAUUAAGUGCUUUUCACUAGAUUCCAACAACUCAACAUAUUUGCACAUGAAAAUGGUGCUGAGAGUAUAAUCAGUAAAGUAUUACAAAAUCACUUUAGAACGAAUUGAAACAAUAAUAAAAGUAUUUCAAAUAUGAAAUGAAUGCAUUCAUCAUGUACCAAAGAGUUAUGAAUUCAAUACAAAAUAGGCCACAUUACUUAAAAAAAGGAAACAAAAUAAACAUAUAAGUUACUGCUGAGUACAUUCUUCGUCGUAUUUUAAUAACUAUCCUCAUAAAUAAAAAUUGUACAUUCGGCCAAUUUUAAGCAAAUGUAAUUUAACUUUCACACUUUUCAUUAAAAUAUUACUACAAUCGGUACCACUUACAUGUGCAGUUAAAAAUACAAACACAAUAAUAUUUUAUAAAACAUGUACAUUUAAAAAAAUGACGAAAAGGUACAUUUGAAAUAUAAUUGUCAAGAUUAAACUGAAAAAAAUAGUCACAGUGCGUCCAAAAGAUUACAAAAUGCCUAUUAACAGACGAAUUGCAAUCGACAAAAAAGCGUUGAAGGAACAUGACGGUAAUAUUUAACUAAUAUUUUUGUCUUGUUUGUUUUCUAAAGAAUCAUUAUAAUAUGAUAAUAUAUAAUUACCCGUUUAUAUCUUAAUAUAAAAAAAAAUCAAGAACUAAAAAUCUGAGCUGGACAACGUGCUUUUUAUGUGCAUCAAAAAGGAAUGUAAAUGUUUCUGCUUCUCGUCUGGAUUUAAUAUCGAAGAAUUAGGUGCAGUACAAGUUUAUUGCAACUUUGCUGUACGGAAUGAUUACCAGUAAUGCAAACUCUGACUUACUCGAUAUACAGUCCUAGGAUGAACAAAGUUACAUUAUAAAGAAACACUCUCAAAAAACGGUUACUGCUAGAGUAAUAUUAUUAUACAGCAUGCGUAACAUUAUUAUUAUUGUUGAACAAAUAACACAAUCCACACGAUACUUUUGAAAUUGAAAACUACGUAUUAAUUUAUAUUCUUGUACAAAAAGUUCAUAGUUCUUGAAGAUUAGAAAACGUUUGUAGGAUGUGAGAACACAUCUCAUACUUGUAUAAAAUUCCGUCUUCUAAUUCAACAGAUACAAAAACUUCAUUGUACAGAAAAUUAAGUUUUGUCCACAAUACAAUAUUAAGAUGCAACAUGUAAUCGUAAAAAAACGAUUAUAAAGAAAAAAGAAAAUGAUUGGCAAACAAAAACGCAUAAAUUGCUACUGCUUGACUAUUGAACAACAAAUAAUGAUGAACAAUACUUCUUUCAAACACAUCAGCAAAAUAAGUGGGAUGGGCUAAGCCAACGCCAUUCAUGCAGCCACAGCACACGAAUUAUAAACACAAAAGAAAAUCAACUUUUCACAAGAUUGCGAUCUCCUUUUUAAACUCGACCCUCUUUUAUUCAAUUGCCAUCCGGUUUUGACUAGGAAAUGAGCCAACAAAAUAAUCACUCCAAUCCCUGUGCAUUGGCAAACGGUAUAGACGACACGGUAGGUAUAUGAAAUAGGAAACAGAACACAAGUCAACCUAAACAAGAGCUACACUUAGUUCCACGCAUUUUAAAUGCCUGCAAAACAACUUCCCUUCCCUUUUCAGAAAGCAAUAAAGGAAAUGUAGUUCUCAAUCGAUCUCAGACAUAAUAAAAUUGAAAUUAUAAUUUGCAUACCUAAGACACUGCUAAAAAUCUACUGAAGCAAUAAAAGUAAUUAUAGAUAAAAAAGGCUCAUCAGAUUCCAAUGAAUGUAUCCAAGAUCAAUCGGAAAGAUACUUUUGUUACGACAUUUUAUCCGUUUCAGCAACUUGAUGUCUAUAGUGAAACAACAUCACCUGAACUGAAUGUACAUCACCUGAACAUGCAAAUAAAAAAUAAGUUUAUCACAUUGUAUUAGUUUUCCGUAAAGUGUCACUAAAUAUUGUAGUAACGAACAACCAUUAAAGGAUGAAAAUACAAUCAGGUUAAAGUCAAAUAAACUACUUUUUCAUGAUA